rnacentral:rRNA from 1 species
UUUGGCCCCCAAUCAAGCAAGGCUACCCGCUGAACUUAAGCAUAUCAAUAAGCGGAGGAAAAGAAACCAACAGGGAUUGCCCUAGUAACGGCGAGUGAACAGGCAAGAGCUCAGAUUUGAAAGCCUCUCGGGGCAUUGUAUUCUGAAGCCUUGAUUCUGAGAACCGGUACCUAAGUCUUCUGGAAAGGAGCGCCAAGGAGGGUGAUAGCCCCGUACGGUACUGACCUCAUUGUAGAAUCUUGGCGUGGAGUCGAGUUGUUUGGGAAUGCAGCUCAAAUGGGUGGUAUGCUCCAUCUAAAGCUAAAUAUCUGCGAGAGACCGAUAGCGAACAAGUACUGUGAAGGAAAGAUGAAAAGAACUUUGAAAAGAGAGUGAAAAAGUACGUGAAAUUGUUGAAAUGGAAGGAUAGGCCGCUAACCACGUAGAGCCGUGUCUGAGGGGAGGAUAAAAGCUGUAGAAUGUGACUCUUCGGAGUGUUAUAGCUGCAGUGCAUACUCCCACUCGGGCGCGAGGACCUAAGGCUCUGCUAAAUGGUGGUCUAUCAC